rnacentral:lncRNA from 13 species
CUUAAAGAUGUGACCACCUGCUUCCACUGUCUUUGGGGCCUGGGGAACAUGCGGGACAGAAAAGAGAGGCCGUGAUGGGAUGCUGAGGAAGUCAGCCUGACAACAUCUUCAUUAGCAUCCUCAUAUUAUCGUCAAUGGGACCAUGUUCAUUGGGGUCUGAGUCCUGGCGCUGAAGGAAUACUUAGUCUAGCCAGGUCCAGGGACUAGAGAACGUGCUCUUGUCACCAUCAGCCUCAGGUUCUGCAUCUACAUGAUGAUACCUGAGUCAACUCGAUGGCUGCAGGAAUAUUCCUGGAAGCCAUUCCUAUAACCAGAAGUUAGCAACAACUAUACAUACAGACUCUAAACAGAGGUGGUGGUAAAAUCACCUGAGAAAAUCCAGGAGCAGAGGAGCAGAGAAGCAGAGACUGAAGAGGAGAGCCCGUGCCGUGAGGAGCGAGGCUGGCAGCGCCUGAGCGAGCACAUUGGAACUCUCCGUGAAGAGGCAGGCUGUCAGCUGGCUGUGUGCAAUGUCUUUGAGAAGAGACUACAAACCCUGGGAUAUGGGAUAGAAAUGAGGCUACGGAACACACAGCCCAAGGUCUCCGGGAACAGAAGAAACAGGGUGGAGUUUGACACACUGGGCGAGCAUCCUGUGGUCACAUUCACAUAAGUGUGCCUUUGGGCAAGCUACUUCACCUCUCUCUGCCGCAAUUCCCCUACAAAGAAGCGGGAAUGAUAAUGCCUAUCUUGUCAUUAUGAAGAUUGAAACUAAUGCCCGUAGCAUGUCCGUCAUAGUACAGGCAUGUUGUAGAUGCUCAGGAGGACUGGGUUGGCAGGAGGGACAGAUAUUUGGUUGAAAAAAAUGUGCUCUGAGCUUCCGCCCUAGGACAGGCCAGGGAGAAAGUAAGAUGUGUGGGGAAGGCUUUCAAAGUGUGGGGAGGAAACAAGCUACAUAAAGACAUGAUGAUAAUAGUAAGCAGGUGACCUCCAGAAGCGGAGAGUCAGGGACUUUGGAAAGAGAGAACUGCCAGGUGCAGCAGCUUACACCUGCAAUCCUAGCACUUUGGGAGGCUGAGGCGGGCGGAUCACGAGGUCAGGAAAUCGAGACCAUUCUGGCUAAUUAUGGUGAAGUCCUAUCUCUACUAAAAAUACAAAUAAUUAGCCAGGCGCGGUGGGGGG